rnacentral:rRNA from 1 species
CACAGUGACAAGUCGAGCGGAAACGAUGAUAGCUUGCUAUCAGGCGUCGAGCGGCGGACGGGUGAGUAAUACUUAGGAAUCUACCUAGUAGUGGGGGAUAGCACGGGGAAACUCGUAUUAAUACCGCAUACGACCUACGGGAGAAAGGGGGCAGUUUACUGCUCUCGCUAUUAGAUGAGCCUAAGUCGGAUUAGCUAGAUGGUGGGGUAAAGGCCUACCAUGGCGACGAUCUGUAGCUGGUCUGAGAGGAUGAUCAGCCACACCGGGACUGAGACACGGCCCGGACUCCUACGGGAGGCAGCAGUGGGGAAUAUUGGACAAUGGGGGAAACCCUGAUCCAGCCAUGCCGCGUGUGUGAAGAAGGCCUUUUGGUUGUAAAGCACUUUAAGCAGUGAAGAAGACUCCAUGGUUAAUACCCGUGGACGAUGACAUUAGCUGCAGAAUAAGCACCGGCUAACUCUGUGCCAGCAGCCGCGGUAAUACAGAGGGUGCAAGCGUUAAUCGGAAUUACUGGGCGUAAAGGGAGCGUAGGUGGCUCGAUAAGUCAGAUGUGAAAUCCCCGGGCUCAACCUGGGAACUGCAUCUGAUACUGUUGAGCUAGAGUAUGUGAGAGGAAGGUAGAAUUCCAGGUGUAGCGGUGAAAUGCGUAGAGAUCUGGAGGAAUACCGAUGGCGAAGGCAGCCUUCUGGCAUAAUACUGACACUGAGGCUCGAAAGCGUGGGUAGCAAACAGGAUUAGAUACCCUGGUAGUCCACGCCGUAAACGAUGUCUACUAGUCGUUGGGUCCCUUGAGGACUUAGUGACGCAGCUAACGCAAUAAGUAGACCGCCUGGGGAGUACGGCCGCAAGGUUAAAACUCAAGAAAUUGACGGGA